rnacentral:rRNA from 1 species
UACGUAGGGUGCAAGCGUUAAUCGGAAUUACUGGGCGUAAAGCGUGCGCAGGCGGCCGUGUGUGUCAGGUGUGAAAGCCCGGAGCUUAACUCCGGAAUUGCGCCUGAAACUACAUGGCUAGAGCAUUGGAGAGGGUAGCGGAAUUCACGGUGUAGCAGUGAAAUGCGUAGAUAUCGUGAGGAACACCAGAGGCGAAGGCGGCUACCUGGACAAUUGCUGACGCUCAGGCACGAAAGCGUGGGGAGCAAAAGGG